UGGCGGACGGGUGAGUAAUGUCUGGGAAACUGCCUGAUGAGGGGGAUAACUACUGGAAACGGUAGCUAAUACCGCAUAACGUCGCAAGACCAAAGAGGGGGACCUUCGGGCCUCUUGCCAUCGGAUGUGCCCAGAUGGGAUUAGCUAGUAGGUGGGGUAACGGCUCACCUAGGCGACGAUCCCUAGCUGGUCUGAGAGGAUGACCAGCCACACUGGAACUGAGACACGGUCCAGACUCCUACGGGAGGCAGCAUG
rnacentral:rRNA from 1 species